UAACAGCGAGAGCUUGCUCUUGGCUGACGAGUGGCGGACGGUGAGUAACGCGUAGGAAUCUACCUAGUAGGUGGGGGACAACCUGGUAGAAAACCAGGCUAAUACCGCAUACGCCCUACGGGGGAAAACAGGGGAUCUUCGGACCUUGUGCUAUUAGAUGAGCCUGCGUCGGAUUAGCUUGUUGGUAGGGUAAUGGCCUACCAAGGCGACGAUCCGUAGCUGGUCUGAGAGGAUGAUCAGCCACACUGGGACUGAGACACGGCCCAGACUCC
rnacentral:rRNA from 2 species